AGUGAUGAAGGGUUUCGGCUCGUAAAACUCUGUUAUUAGGGAAGAACAUAUGUGUAAGUAACUGUGCACAUCUUGACGGUACCUAAUCAGAAAGCCACGGCUAACUACGUGCCAGCAGCCGCGGUAAUACGUAGGUGGCAAGCGUUAUCCGGAAUUAUUGGGCGUAAAGCGCGCGUAGGCGGUUUCUUAAGUCUGAUGUGAAAGCCCACGGCUCAACCGUGGAGGGUCAUUGGAAACUGGGAAACUUGAGUGCAGAAGAGGAAAGUGGAAUUCCAUGUGUAGCGGUGAAAUGCGCAGAGAUAUGGAGGAACACCAGUGGCGAAGGCGACUUUCUGGUCUGUAACUGACGCUGAUGUGCGAAAGCGUGGGGAUCAAACAGGAUUAGAUACCCUGGGUAGU
rnacentral:rRNA from 1 species